UUGGUUUGUUUACAUUUUUCUCCGCAUUGUUUUUGGUGAAUUUUCCGUGAAAAUGGCUGGAAAAAGAAAAGCAGAUUCGCAAAUUCCAGCGGAGGAGAAUGAUUUGCUUCUCAUCAAACCAUUGGGAGCUGGUCAGGAAGUAGGAAGAUCCUGCAUUAUGCUGGAGUUCAAGGGGAAGAAAAUUAUGCUCGAUUGUGGGAUUCAUCCGGGAUUAAGUGGCAUGGAUGCACUUCCUUUCGUCGAUCUGAUUGAACCGGAAGAGGUUGACUUGCUCUUUAUAUCACACUUCCAUUUGGAUCACUGUGGCGCCCUUCCGUGGUUCCUGCAGAAAACCUCCUUCAAGGGACGCUGCUUCAUGACUCACGCCACAAAGGCAAUCUACCGAUGGAUGCUGUCGGAUUACAUCAAAGUCAGCAACAUCUCCACCGAACAGAUGCUCUACACGGAAGCAGAUCUCGAGGCAAGCAUGGAGAAGAUCGAGACGAUAAAUUUCCACGAAGAACGCGACGUUCUUGGGGUUCGUUUCUGGGCCUACAACGCUGGACACGUUCUGGGAGCUGCAAUGUUCAUGAUUGAGAUUGCCGGCGUGAAGAUUCUCUACACCGGAGACUUUUCCCGGCAGGAAGAUCGGCAUUUGAUGGCCGCGGAGAUUCCCACAAUGCGUCCGGACGUUCUCAUCACUGAAUCAACGUACGGAACACACAUUCACGAGAAGCGUGAAGAUCGUGAAACACGCUUCACGUCACUCGUGCAGAAGAUUGUCACUCAGGGGGGACGAUGCCUCAUUCCGGUGUUUGCCUUGGGCAGGGCGCAGGAACUUCUGCUCAUUCUCGAUGAAUACUGGAGCCAGAAUCCCGAACUCCACGACAUUCCCAUCUACUACGCCUCAUCGCUGGCCAAGAAGUGCAUGGCUGUCUAUCAGACCUACAUCAAUGCCAUGAAUGACAAAAUCCGCCGACAAAUUGCCGUGAACAAUCCCUUCGUCUUCAGGCACAUCUCAAAUCUCAAGGGGAUCGAUCACUUCGAGGAUAUCGGGCCGUGCGUCGUGAUGGCGUCUCCGGGAAUGAUGCAGAGUGGCCUAUCGCGGGAACUCUUCGAAAAUUGGUGCACAGACGCAAAGAAUGGCGUCAUCAUUGCCGGGUACUGCGUCGAGGGCACCCUGGCCAAGACAAUCCUCUCGGAACCCGAAGAAAUCGUCACAAUGUCCGGACAGAAGCUGCCCCUGAACAUGUCCGUGGACUACAUCUCCUUCUCCGCACACACAGACUACCAGCAAACGAGUGAAUUCAUCAGACUCCUCAAGCCACGGCAUGUGGUUCUCGUGCACGGAGAGCAGAAUGAGAUGAGCAGGCUCAAGUCUGCCCUUCAGCGGGAGUACGAAGCUGAACCAACGACGCAAAUCUCCUUCCACAAUCCCCGGAACACGCACACAGUUGAGCUGCACUUCAAGGGUGAGAAGACGGCCAAAGUGAUGGGAAGUUUAGCUGUGAAGCGCCCCGAAAAGGAUCAGAAGCUCAGCGGGGUCCUCGUCAAGAGAGACUUUAAGUAUCACAUCCUGGCCGCAUCGGAUCUAUCGAAGUACUCCGAUAUGAGCAUGUCGGUGGUAACACAGAAGCAGAGUCUCAUUUGGACAGGUUCAAUGAAUACUUUGCGAUUACUGCUUGAACGAAUCGGUGGUCCAGGAACUGUUGCAGCUACAGACACUGAAAAGAAGUAUCGCAUUUUUAACUGUAUCGACGUGCAGUUGGAGGGUAAAAUAAUUGUGUUGGAGUGGCAGGCUACGCCGGUGAAUGAUAUGUUUGCCGACACAGUCCUUGCUACGCUCCUGCAGUCAGAUCUCUGUGGAACCACUAUUAAGGGUACAUCGGGUCACAAGGGGGAUCGGAGUCACUUCAAGGAGUGCCUCGUUGAGACGAUGCAGGAUAUGUUUGGGGAGAAGUCUGUGCCGAAGAUGAUACGAGGCGAUGAUUUUGAGGUCAAUGUGAACGGGAAGAAGGCUACAGUUGAUCUGGAGAAGUUGACAGUUAGCUGCCCUGAGGAUGAGCAAAUGCAGAAGAUGAUCCAUACGGCUGUUCACAAACUCUACCAAUCCCUCGUACUUGGGCCAGCAAACUAAAUUGUAAGAAAAAUUGAAUAAAGCGUAUUUUAAAAAAAAAUGAAAAACAAUGCAAAUGUAAAAAAAAAGAGUACUCUGCGUUGAUACCACUGCUU